UACGGGGGGGGCAAGCGUUGUUCGGAAUUACUGGGCGUAAAGGGCUCGUAGGUGGCCAACUAAGUCGAACGUGAAAUCCCCGGGCUCAACCCGGGAACUGCGUCCGAUACUGGAAGGCUUGAAUCCGGGAGAGGGAUGCGGAAUUCCAGGUGUAGCGGUGAAAUGCGUAGAUAUCUGGAGGAAUACCGGUGGCGAAGGCGGCAUCCUGGACCGGCAUUGACGCUGAGGAGCGAAAGCCAGGGGAGCAAACGGG
rnacentral:rRNA from 1 species